UACGAAGGGUGCAAGCGUUACUCGGAAUUACUGGGCGUAAAGCGUGCGUAGGUGGUGAGUUAAGUCUGUCGUGAAAGCCCCGGGCUCAACCUGGGAAUGGCGAUGGAUACUGGCUCGCUAGAGUGCGGUAGAGGAGAGUGGAAUUCCCGGUGUAGCAGUGAAAUGCGUAGAGAUCGGGAGGAACAUCAGUUGCGAAGGCGGCGCUCUGGGCCGGUACUGACGCUGAGGAGCGAAAGCGUGGGGAGCAAACAGG
rnacentral:rRNA from 1 species